rnacentral:rRNA from 1 species
CAAUAGCGUAUAUUAAUGUUGUUGCAGUUAAAAAGCUCGUAGUUGGAUUUCGAAUGGGAGCGGUGGGUCGGGUCCGCAAGGGCUCGUUACCUGUUUCGUCUCCGGUUCUUUUUCGGGAUUUGUUUCUGGCGUGGCUGGCAUUGAGUUGUCGGUGGCGUCGGGCCCGUCGUUUACUGUGAACAAAUUAGAGUGUUCAAAGCAAGGUGUGUCUUGAAUACAUUAGCAUGGAAUAAUGAGAUAGGACUUUGGUGGUUUCGGUGAAAGCCGGAUAUUUUGUUGGUUUGCACGCCAAAGUAAUGAUUAAUAGGAGCAGUUGGGGGUAUUCGUAUUCAAUUGUCAGAGGUGAAAUUCUUGGAUUUCUAGAAGACGAACUACUGCGAAAGCAUUUACCAGGGAUGUUUUCAUUAG